rnacentral:rRNA from 1 species
GGCGCACGGGUGAGUAACACGUAGGUAAUCUACCUUUGGAUGGGGAAUAACAACCGGAAACGGUUGCUAAUACCGCAUAAUGCAGCGGCACCUAAUGGUGACAGUUGUUAAAGCGGGGGAUCGCAAGACCUCGCGUCUGAAGAGGAGCCUGCGGCAGAUUAGCUAGUUGGUAAGGUAACGGCUUACCAAGGCGAUGAUCUGUAGCCGGCCUGAGAGGGCGGUCGGCCACACUGACACUGACAUACGGGUCAGACUCCUACGGGAGGCAGCAGUCGGGAAUUUUGGGCAAUGGGCGAAAGCCUGACCCAGCAACGCCGCGUGAAGGAUGAAAUCCCUCGGGAUGUAAACUUCGCAAGAACGGGAAGAAUAAGUAAGAGUUAAUAUCUCUUACGAUGACGGUACUGUUUGUAAGCUCCGGCUAACUCCGUGCCAGCAGCCGCGGUAAUACGGGGGGAGCAAGCGUUGUUCGGAUUUACUGGGCGUAAAGGGCGCGUAGGCGGCCUCUGCAAGUCGACUGUGAAAUCUCCGGGCUUAACCCGGAAAGGUCAGCCGAUACUGCAGGGCUAGAGUGCAGAAGGGGCAACUGGAAUUCUCGGUGUAGCGGUGAAAUGCGUAGAUAUCGAGAGGAACACCUGCGGCGAAGGCGGGUUGCUGGGCUGACACUGACGCUGAGGCGCGAAAGCUAGGGGAGCGAACGGGAUUAGAUACCCCGGUAGUCC